ACCACUUUCAUUCUCCAUGGAAACUUUAAAAAUUGUUGUUACCAUCCGUGGGUUGCUCAGAUGGUUAGGGCGAAUUGGGGAUUGUGUGGAUAGGCACACGGUCCCAGAUUCGAUUCCCCAUCUUUGCAUUUGCGAUUUAAAUAGAGACCAUGACGGUAGGUUGUUGUGUUAGUUUUCCCGAGGAUUAGUCAAGGUGUGCAUAAGCUGGCCCAGACACCUUGAUUAACAAAAAAAAAAAUCUAAGUCCAAAAUGCUAGGCUACUAGCAAAUACAACAUAUUUCAGUUAGAGUACUGAAAAUUAGCAAUAAGACAGCAAAUGGUAUCACACCAACACCAAUGAAUAAAGCUCAAAAGCUUGUAAAAGUGAAGGAGGCAAGCUAUAUUGGAUCAACGAUUUACCAGAUUUUAGAGUGAGUAUGUCUUUAGACUUAGCUUCUUAUAAUAAGUAAUGUGGUAGUAUUUUUUCUCGUAAAAUAUGAACAAUAUUAUUUCUAUUCCAUCUAAUUUGCUUCCAUUUUGAAUAAUUGGAUCCUCAGAUACUGUUUUCAAAUUCGAUCUAGGUUUUAUAUAUAAGAGAAAUCACAUUUAUAAUAGCAUUAUAGAGUAUUGGGUCUUACCAUAAGCUAUAUUAAGCUAUAUAAAUUUGAUGUGUGUGGUGAUCUUCUACCAUUGAUUGAUAAACACAGUUGGAAAUUGGUAUGAAAUCGGGCAUGUAUGGUAAAUAUGAAGCAUGCAUGCUUUAAAUAAUCAGUAUUCCGUAUUGGCCCAAAAGGUUUUACCCUAACUUCUGGUGAUUUUUCUUGACAUAUUUACUCUUGGUCCUUACCAUCACAUUGAUAUGGAGUUGAGUUUGUAUGGUAAAUACAUACCAAUACAAAUCAGGCCAAUAUAUCAGAUUCAGAUUACUUAAACCAUGGUAUAGAGUGGUUGCCAAAAGAUGCUGCAUUGAGUAGAGGUCAUCUAAACCUUUUCCCUCCAACAAAAUCAUAAAAAAUAACCAAGGUUUUUCUUGUCAGAAAAUUUGGUUUUGGUUGUUCUUUAAGAGAACCACAUCCCAUAUGCUUACCCAAUUAAAAAGAGAAGGAAAUAUUUUUUACCAUGAAAAAAUUAUUUAGCUAAACGGUAACAUUAGAAAGGUUGUAGAGCAAGCAAUUAUAAUGGAACCCCAUUGAUUAAGCUGUAUUUUAUGUAUCUAUGAGCAUUUUAAUUGAGCAUUUUGAUUCUAGAUCAAUGAUAAAAGUGACUACAUAAUGUGAUUUUCUCACAUUUGUAGGUUAUAGGAUCAUGCACAUAAAAAAUGCUAAAUGGAAGGAUCCAAUGCAAUCUAGACACCGGUUUACCCAUGAAUCGAUUCACAUGUGAUCAAGGGCAAGAUGAGAAGAAAUUUAACUGAAGCAAUCAAAGAAAAAUGAGGAAUUUCACAUCAAUUUAGAAGUUUGACCAAGAGAUUGAGCAACAAAAAAAAAAUCGGACAUGGGAGGACUAACGCAAGUGUAGGGAUAUGAUGGUAAUUUUGAAAGAUGAGGAGUUCAUCGGAAGAUAUUAGAUAUUAGGCUCGUUGCGUUCAUAAUUUAAAAUGAUGCAUCUUUAAUUCUCGAUUUGAGUCAAUCCGGGAUCAGGAUGAAGAGAUAUAGCCCAAAAAUCAUUUUGGACUAAGUUGAAAUUAAAUUGAAUUUUAAAAUUUUCAAAAAUUAAUUAUGUAA